AUUGAACGCUGGCGGCAGGCUUAACACAUGCAAGUCGAGCGGGCGAGGUUGCUUCGGUAACUGAGCUAGCGGCGGACAGGUGAGUAAUGCUUAGGAAUCUGCCUAUUAGUGGGGGACAACAUUCCGAAAGGGAUGCUAAUACCGCAUACGUCCUACGGGAGAAAGCAGGGGCUCUUUAUGACCUUGCGCUAAUAGAUGAGCCUAAGUCGGAUUAGCUAGUUGGUGGGGUAAAGGCCUACCAAGGCGACGAUCUGUAGCGGGUCCGAGAGGAUGAUCCGCCACACUGGGACUGAGACACGGCCCAGACUCCUACGGGAGGCAGCAGUGGGGAAUAUUGGACAAUGGGGGGAACCCUGAUCCAGCCAUGCCGCGUGUGUGAAGAAGGCCUUUUGGUUGUAAAGCACUUUAAGUGGGGAGGAGGCUUACCUGGUUAAUACCUGGGCUAAGUGGACGUUACCCACAGAAUAAGCACCGGCUAACUCUGUGCCAGCCGCCGCGGUAA
rnacentral:rRNA from 1 species